rnacentral:rRNA from 1 species
CAGUAGCCACGGUAAAACGUAGGUGGCAAGCGUUGUCCGGAAUUAUUGGGCGUAAAGCGCGCGCAGGUGGUUUAAUAAGUCUGAUGUGAAAGCCCACGGCUCAACCGUGGAGGGUCAUUGGAAACUGUUAAACUUGAGUGCAGGAGAGAAAAGUGGAAUUCCUAGUGUAGCGGUGAAAUGCGUAGAGAUUAGGAGGAACACCAGUGGCGAAGGCGGCUUUUUGGCCUGUAACUGACACUGAGGCGCGAAAGCGUGGGGAGCAAACAGGAUUAGAUACCCCCGUAGUCCCUGUCUCUUAUAC